rnacentral:rRNA from 1 species
UCCUACGGGAGGCAGCAGUGGGGAAUCUUACGGGAGGCAGCAGUAGGGAAUUUUCCCCAAUGGGCGAAAGCCUGAUGGAGCAACGCCGCGUGCAGGAUGAAGGCCCUAGGGUCGUAAACUGCUUUUAUGUGAGAAGAAUAUGACGAAACACAUAAAUUAACUCGGUUUC